rnacentral:snRNA from 1 species
UGUCGUACCAUGACACCA